rnacentral:rRNA from 1 species
AACGAACGCUGGCGGCAUGCCUAACACAUGCAAGUCGAACGAGACCUUCGGGUCUAGUGGCGCACGGGUGCGUAACGCGUGGGAACCUGCCCUUAGGUUCGGAAUAACUCCCCGAAAGGGGUGCUAAUACCGGAUAAUGUCUUCGGACCAAAGAUUUAUCGCCUUUGGAUGGGCCUGCGUUGGAUUAGCUAGUUGGUAGGGUAAAAGCCUACCAAGGCGACGAUCCAUAGCUGGUCUGAGAGGAUGAUCAGCCACACUGGGACUGAGACACGGCCCAGACUCCUACGAGAGGCAGCAGUGGGGAAUAUUGGACAAUGGGCGAAAGCCUGAUCCAGCAAUGCCGCGUGAGUGAUGAAGGCCUUAGGGUUGUAAAGCUCUUUUACCCGGGAUGAUAAUGACAGUACCGGGAGAAUAAGCUCCGGCUAACUCCGUG